rnacentral:rRNA from 1 species
CCUACGGGUGGCAGCAGUGAGGAAUAUUGGUCAAUGGGCGAGAGCCUGAACCAGCCAAGUCGCGUGAAGGAUGACGGCCCUACGGGUUGUAAACUUCUUUUGUCAGGGAGCAAUUUGGUCCACGCGUGGGCUUAGCGAGAGUACCUGAAGAAAAAGCAUCGGCAAACUCCGUGCCAGCAGCCCCGUUAAUACGGGGGAUGCGAGCGUUAUCCGGUUUUAUGGGGUUAAAAGGGUGCGUAGGCGGAAGAUCAAGUCAGCGGUAAAAAUUCGGGGCCAAACCGCGUCGUGCCGUUGAAACUGAUGUUCUUGAGUGGGCGAGAAGUAUGCGGAAUGCGUGGUGUAGCGGUGAAAUGCAUAGAUAUCACGAAGAACUCCGAUUGCGAAGGCAGCAUACCGGAGCGCAACUGACGCUGAAGCACGAAAGCGUGGGUAUCGAACAGGAUUAGAUACCCCAGUAGUC